GACGAACGCUGGCGGCGUGCCUAAUACAUGCAAGCCGAACGAACUCUGGUAUUGAUUGGUGCUUGCAUCAUGAUUUACAUUUGAGUGAGUGGCGAACUGGUGAGUAACACGUGGGAAACCUGCCCAGAAGCGGGGGAUAACACCUGGAAACAGAUGCUAAUACCGCAUAACAACUUGGACCGCAUGGUCCGAGCUUGAAAGAUGGCUUCGGCUAUCACUUUUGGAUGGUCCCGCGGCGUAUUAGCUAGAUGGUGGGGUAACGGCUCACCAUGGCAAUGAUACGUAGCCGACCUGAGAGGGUAAUCGGCCACAUUGGGACUGAGACACGGCCCAAACUCCUACGGGAGGCAGCAGUAGGGAAUCUUCCACAAUGGACGAAAGUCUGAUGGAGCAACGCCGCGUGAGUGAAGAAGGGUUUCGGCUCGUAAAACUCUGUUGUUAAAGAAGAACAUAUCUGAGAGUAACUGUUCAGGUAUUGACGGUAUUUAACCAGAAAGCCACGGCUAACUACGUGCCAGCAGCCGCGGUAAUACGUAGGUGGCAAGCGUUGUCCGGAUUUAUUGGGCGUAAAGCGAGCGCAGGCGGUUUUUUAAGUCUGAUGUGAAAGCCUUCGGCUCAACCGAAGAAGUGCAUCGGAAACUGGGAAACUUGAGUGCAGAAGAGGACAGUGGAACUCCAUGUGUAGCGGUGAAAUGCGUAGAUAUAUGGAAGAACACCAGUGGCGAAGGCGGCUGUCUGGUCUGUAACUGACGCUGAGGCUCGAAGGAAUGGGUAGCAAACAGGAUUAGAUACCCUGGUAGUCCAUACCGUAAACGAUGAAUGCUAAGUGUUGGAGGGUUUCCGCCCUUCAGUGCUGCAGCUAACGCAUUAAGCAUUCCGCCUGGGGAGUACGGCCGCAAGGCUGAAACUCAAAGGAAUUGACGGGGGCCCGCACAAGCGGUGGAGCAUGUGGUUUAAUUCGAAGCUACGCGAAGAACCUUACCAGGUCUUGACAUACUAUGCAAAUCUAAGAGAUUAGACGUUCCCUUCGGGGACAUGGAUACAGGUGGUGCAUGGUUGUCGUCAGCUCGUGUCGUGAGAUGUUGGGUUAAGUCCCGCAACGAGCGCAACCCUUAUUAUCAGUUGCCAGCAUUAAGUUGGGCACUCUGGUGAGACUGCCGGUGACAAACCGGAGGAAGGUGGGGAUGACGUCAAAUCAUCAUGCCCCUUAUGACCUGGGCUACACACGUGCUACAAUGGAUGGUACAACGAGUUGCGAACUCGCGAGAGUAAGCUAAUCUCUUAAAGCCAUUCUCAGUUCGGAUUGUAGGCUGCAACUCGCCUACAUGAAGUCGGAAUCGCUAGUAAUCGCGGAUCAGCAUGCCGCGGUGAAUACGUUCCCGGGCCUUGUACACACCGCCCGUCACACCAUGAGAGUUUGUAACACCCAAAGUCGGUGGGGUAACCUUUUAGGAACCAGCCGCCUAAGGUGGGACAGAUGAUUAGGGUG
rnacentral:rRNA from 1 species